CGGCACUUAAUGGUGGUAAGUGAUCACCUUGCUUCUGCUUCAACCUUUGUUUUCUCUCUUCUGCAGUACUAGAAACUGAACCCAGGACUUUCACUGAGCUACAUUCCAGCCCUUAUUGUUACUUUUUUUUUGAGACAGGUUCUCACUAAGUCGCUAAGUUGCCCCAGCUGAAUUUAGACUUGCAGUCCGCCUGCCUCAGCCUUCAGGUUGUGUUUCAUCUCAAUGCACGUGGUCUGAGUGGAGGUCUGCAGGGUAUUGUAGAAUGCUUGUUCAUGACCGCCACUAAUGUUUAUGAUCCAUUGCUGUGUGACAGGUGCCAUUAGACACAUCGAGGUGACUCAGACACGGUCCUUCUCUUUAAAGAAUGGCCCAAUGGGUCAUCUAAGACUGGUACAGAGGAGUGGUAUUCUGUUCACAUUUAGAGGCAUUCAGAUUAUCAACAUAAGGAGUUCUAUUAAUUGCUCAGCCUGUACGUUUCUGUAUUUUUUUUUUUAGUCUUAAAAUGCAUUUCUUCGGUUCUUUCAUUGUUGCUCCCAUUGUGUUCUUUACAAAAGGCAUUUCUCCUUCACAGAAGAGCAGUUACCCAUGUCAGCCCAGCACCCGCCCCCCAUGGUCCCCAAUGGCUCUGGAAGCUCGCAUUCCGCUCUCUGCACUUUCCUGAGGAGCGCAGUCCCCCUCCCUGCAUGUGUAGUGUUUUAUCACAGCUGCCUCUGUCUUCUCUUAUGUAAAAGUUCUAGGUUAAGGACACAGUCUGAUCCGAAAGCGAAUGCUUAAGUUCUCGGUAUAACUGUGCUAACAGUCCUUGUGCCUUUGCAAGGAUGUUGAAAUGUUCUCAGCCCCCUUUGGUCCUGAACUCCCAUUUUUCAUGGUUAACAGGCUGUCAGCACUACCCAGAAAUCUCCUGAGCUGCAGGCUGUGGCAGGAGCAGUGCGGAGAACUCCAUGGAGAAAGCGGAGAGAGCCUUCCAAGCAGCUGACACGUUGUCAGCUCCAGAAGAGCAGAGUGGCAGGGGGGAGGGAUAGAUGGAAACCUACUGGAGCAGCCAUCCCUUAAUUAUUUUUGCAUAGAUUUCUGAAUUGUGGCUUCUUUGCAAAGAAACAAGAAAAAGAACAAAAAGGAAAUAAACGUGGUAUGCAGCCUACUAUUUCAGUGCCUGGAGUAUGCAGCUCACAGAUGAUCUCAGAACCUCAGGUUCUUUACCUUGUUGGAAAAGCCUGAAGGGCGAAAAAGAGGACAGAGACUCUGUCCUGAGCAAGUGGAGUGAUUGGUGGUGAAAAUCAGAUGGAUGCCCUGUAGCCCUGCGUCGGGAGGGUAAAUGUGUCUGAGAUGAGCACAUCCUCAGGAAGACAUUUGCACUUAUUCCUUGAAUGGGUUACAAGCUAUUUCUCUUCUUUCACAGCGGCCAAGUAUUGAGCCAAACCUGUAAUCAGAAAAUGUUGAUGCGCUGUCAGAUGGAGAAGGUUAUUUUUGUGUGUCUCAGUUGCCACAUUCACUAAUAUGUUCCUGUACAAAUGGGCAUAGGAGACUGUAGACGGUGCCGAUGCCAAGUUCAAAUUUGUAACUUUGUCCUCAAGCGGUGGUGGUGAACCUAUGGCAC
ensembl:lncRNA